rnacentral:rRNA from 1 species
GACGAAAGCUGGCGGCAUGCCUAACACAUGCAAGUCGAACGAAAAGUAGCAAUAUUUUUAGUGGCGAACGGGUGAGUAACACUUGAGCAACCUACCUUAUACAUCGGGAUAACGUCUAGAAAUGGGUGCUAAUACCGGAUAAGACCACAGUAUGACAUCAUACAGGGGUCAAAGUUCAGGCGGUAUAAGAUGGGCUCGAGUCCAAUUAGCUAGAUGGUGAGAUAACAGCCCACCAUGGCGACGAUUGGUAGCCGGCCUGAGAGGGUGAUCGGCCACACUGGAACUGAGACACGGUCCAGACUCCUACGGGAGGCAGCAGUGGGGAAUAUUGGGCAAUGGGCGAAAGCCUUACCCAGCAAUGCCGCGUGUGUGAAGAAGGUCUUCGGAUUGUAAAGCACUAUAUUGGGAAGAACACAAUGACGGUACCCAAGAGAAAAGCCCCGGACUAACUAUGUG